rnacentral:rRNA from 1 species
UACGGGGGGAGCAAGCGUUGUUCGGAUUUACUGGGCGUAAAGGGCGCGUAGGCGGCCACUGCAAGUCGGUUGUGAAAUCUCCGGGCUUAACCCGGAAAGGUCAACCGAUACUGCAGGGCUAGAGUGCAGAAGGGGCAACUGGAAUUCUCGGUGUAGCGGUGAAAUGCGUAGAUAUCGAGAGGAACACCUGCGGCGAAGGCGGGUUGCUGGGCUGACACUGACGCUGAGACGCGAAAGCGUGGGGAGCAAACAGG